rnacentral:rRNA from 1 species
CCAAACUGGGAUUAGAUACCCCACUAUGCUUAGCCCUAACCUAGAUAGUUAACCCAAACAAAACUAUCCGCCAGAGAACUACUAGCAACAGCUUAAAACUCAAAGGACUUGGCGGUGCUUUAUAUCCCUCUAGAGGAGCCUGUUCCAUAAUCGAUAAACCCCGAUAAACCUCACCAUCUCUUGCUAAUUCAGCCUAUAUACCGCCAUCUUCAGCAAACCCUAAAA